rnacentral:rRNA from 1 species
AAAACGACUCUCGGCAACGGAUAUCUCGGCUCUCGCAUCGAUGAAGAACGCAGCGAAAUGCGAUACUUGGUGUGAAUUGCAGAAUCCCGCGAAUCAUCGAGUCUUUGAACGCAAGUUGCGCCCCAGGCCAUCCGGCUGAGGGCACGUCUGCCUGGGUGUCACGCAC